GGACCUUAGAAUAGCUGGACUAACAUACCAAAGAAUAGUCAGGAAUAGCCGAGGUCAAGAGAUACAGAAAGAGACACAAAGAUAAGGAAAAGCCAGGAGUCAGGGAUGCCAGAAACCAAGGAAGUCAAAAACAAUGCCAAAAUCAAAUAACCAGAAUAUAACACGCUCUCGGACAACUACAAGGGAAAUACCCCUCCUCUAGAUCUGAC